rnacentral:rRNA from 1 species
UACGUAGGCAGCAAGCGUUGUUCGGAAUUACUGGGCGUAAAAAGUGUGUAGGCGGUGUUCUAAGUUUGUCGUGAAAUCUCCCGGCUUAACUGGGAGGGUGCGGCGAAAACUGGAAUGCUAGAGGAUGGGAGAGGUAAGCGGAAUUCCUGGUGUAGCGGUGAAAUGCGUAGAUAUCAGGAGGAACACCUGUGGUGUAGACAGCUUACUGGACCAUUUCUGACGCUGAGACACGAAAGCGUGGGUAGCAAACAGG